UACGGGGGGAGCAAGCGUUGUUCGGAUUUACUGGGCGUAAAGGGCGCGUAGGCGGUCGUGACAAGUCACUUGUGAGAUCUCCGGGCUUAACUCGGAAAGGUCAAGUGAUACUGUCGGACUAGAGUACAGAAGGGGCAACUGGAAUUCUCGGUGUAGCGGUGAAAUGCGUAGAUAUCGAGAGGAACACCGGUGGCGAAGGCGGG
rnacentral:rRNA from 1 species